GACGAACGCUGGCGGCGUGCUUUACACAUGCAAGUCGAACGGAAAGGCCCUGCUUUUGUGGGGUGCUCGAGUGGCGAACGGGUGAGUAACACGUGAGUAACCUGCCCUUGACUUUGGGAUAACUUCAGGAAACUGGGGCUAAUACCGGAUAGGAGCUCCUGCUGCAUGGUGGGGGUUGGAAAGUUUCGGCGGUUGGGGAUGGACUCGCGGCUUAUCAGCUUGUUGGUGGGGUAGUGGCUUACCAAGGCUUUGACGGGUAGCCGGCCUGGGAGGGUGACCGGCCACAUUGGGACUGAGAUACGGCCCAGACUCCUACGGGAGGCAGCAGUGGGGAAUAUUGCACAAUGGGCGGAAGCCUGAUGCAGCAACGCCGCGUGCGGGAUGACGGCCUUCGGGUUGUAAACCGCUUUCGCCUGUGACGAAGCGUGAGUGACGGUAAUGGGUAAAGAAGCACCGGCUAACUACGUG
rnacentral:rRNA from 1 species